rnacentral:rRNA from 1 species
UACGGGGGGGGGCAAGCGUUGUUCGGAAUUACUGGGCGUAAAGGGCUCGUAGGCGGCCAACUAAGUCGGAUGUGAAAUCCCCAAGCUUAACUUGGGAACUGCAUCCGAUACUGGAUGGCUUGAAUCCGGGAGAGGGAUGCAGAAUUCCACGUGUAGCAGUGAAAUGCGUAGAGAUGUGGAGGAACACCGAUGGCGAAGGCAGCCCCCUGGGUCAAGAUUGACGCUCAUGCACGAAAGCGUGGGGAGCAAAC